GGGCGCGUAGCUCAGUUGGUAGAGCAUCUGACUUUUAAUCAGACGGUCGUAGGUUCGAUUCCUACCGCGCUCACCA
rnacentral:tRNA from 1 species